GUAGCUUCUCAAGAAAACCAAUUUUGAUCAAAAUCACUCUCCCUCCUCUCUCUCUUGGUUCGGCCAGCAGCAUUGGAGAAACUAACAUUUACUCUCUCAAUUUUACUUCACAAAUCUUCACAAAAACUCAUUCAAAUCCCACCAAAUUUGAACUACACCUAGCCUAUCACUUGGAGAGACCAUUUAGCUAGGAAGAAGGAGAGCUUUCACGGUUUUCUUGGAGCAUUUGAAGGGCCGAAAAUUCUGAUCUAAGAACACCAAGAAGAACAGGUGCUCAAUCACUUGGGAAAAAGGAAAACAAAGAAAAGCAAGAAGAAAGGAACGGUGUCCCUAUCAGUUGGACGCAGCUUCAAACACACCCAGGAGGAUUGGACGUACAAAGCAACCUUCAAAGGAAUUACAUCCAUCUUCAGACACAGUUUUGAACACAAGAAACAAGGAUCGGCUGUCCAAAGAUGGAAGAGCAAAUAUAAAUCUUGAAGGGCAUCCCUAUCGACCAUUCGAAAAAUUCAAAAGCCAAGUUGGAAUCCUCUGGUCAUCUGUCGGACGGACUCUUGGACGAAGGAGAACUUGCAUUGGCCAUCUGAACAUCUACACAAGAAAGCUUCUCAUCCUUGAUUAAACGAUUGUAUCGAACGCUAGCAUAACGAUCAGAAAUCUGAUAGUUUCAACUUUCAACAGUCGUUUUUUCUGCAUUAAAUGAUUGACCAUUAGAGGGCAUUUUCGAUCAAUUUUUGGGGUCCUAUAAAUACGAUAAAGUCUAAACUCAUUAACAACUUUUGUCUAUAUCAAUUAUGAGCUCUCUAGAGUAAUUUUGGUUUAAAAAAUACUCUCUCUCUUGUUCACUUGUAGUUUUUUAUGAGGUUGAAAAGCUUGUAAAAUUCUUCAUUGUAAUUGUGAGCAAUUCAAUUUUAGCUUGGAAAGGUUAGAUAUAUAGGAAGUGUAAAACCUUUUCACUCAACUAAGGAGAGAUUAAUGUGAGUAAAGGUAAUCAUUUCUUUGUA